rnacentral:lncRNA from 1 species
UGAGUAAUGUGUGGAUAUGUGAUGUUAAUGUGUUUAUAGUAGAUAAGUGGACAAACUCUCUGUUUUGAUUCCAUAAAACUAUACAACAAUACGUGGACAUUGACUCAUGUUACUAAAAUUAUACCAUAAAACGUGGACACGGACUCUGUUAUCUCCAAUACAAACACUUGGUUUCUUCAGCUCAAUUGAUAAAUUAUCUGCAGUUAAACUUCAAUCAGGAUGAGAAAGAGAUGAUAUUGUGAGUAUGAGCGGAGAGAAAAAUCGAAGAAGCGUUUACCUUUUGUGGGAGAGUAAUAGAUCUUGCAUGUCAGAGAUUUCUGAUCUAAGGAAUUUGCGCUUUGUCAUGACGUGGAUGAAUGUAAUUUUGAUUAGAAUUGAAUUUAGAUCCCGAGAUGAUGAAUGGAAUCGAAUGAAUAUUGUCCAUGUCCACAACUAGGGCUGGGCAAAUAAACCGAACCCGAAAAUCCGAACCGAACCCGAUCCGAUGAAAAUGAAUCCGAACCGAUCCGAACCCGACAUAAAUACCGAAUGG